AAAGGAAUUGACGGGGGCCCGCACAAGCGGUGGAGCAUGUGGUUUAAUUCGAAGCAACGCGAAGAACCUUACCAGGUCUUGACAUCCUUUGACCAUUCUAGAGAUAGAACUUUCCCUUCGGGGACAAAGUGACAGGUGGUGCAUGGUUGUCGUCAGCUCGUGUCGUGAGAUGUUGGGUUAAGUCCCGCAACGAGCGCAACCCUUAUUGUUAGUUGCCAUCAUUCAGUUGGGCACUCUAGCGAGACUGCCGGUGACAAACCGGAGGAAGGUGGGGAUGACGUCAAAUCAUCAUGCCCCUUAUGACCUGGGCUACACACGUGCUACAAUGGGAAGUACAACGAGUUGCGAAGUCGCGAGGCUAAGCUAAUCUCUUAAAGCUUCUCUCAGUUCGGAUUGCAGGCUGCAACUCGCCUGCAUGAAGCCGGAAUCGCUAGUAAUCGCGGAUCAGCACGCCGCGGUGAAUACGUUCCCGGGCCUUGUACACACCGCCCGU
rnacentral:rRNA from 1 species